CGGGGUGAGGAGCUGCGGUCUGUGAGUCCUCUCCCGCCAAUGGGUGGACCGCGCUGGCGGCCGCGAGCUCGCGGAGCUGGUCAACAAUCUUGGAAGCCACACAUUGAAGCUGGAGGAGCUCCAAGGUAGAAGGACCCUGAGUUCCUGAAUUACUAUUUAGAGCCCACCUUUAAGUAGAAACACUCAUGUACGGGAGCAAGAGGUAUGUUGCAUUGUACAAGAUGAAGUUAGGAAGUACCAGCUUGACCUUGGAGACUACCAUUGCAUCAAGGUAAUCUUCCACUUGACAAAUGAUGAGAGGUAGGUAAGGCUCAUGAUCCCCUCUUUAAAGAAAAGGAAAUUAAGAAAUAUAAAAGGUAUGUGACUUCUCCAAGGUCACACAGCAUUUAGGUGAAUUAAUUGGGAUUCACACACAGGUUUCUCCAACUUCAAGCCUAAUUUUUUUUUUUUUCUAAACAAGCUCCUCAUGCCA
rnacentral:lncRNA from 1 species